CUCGGCCCACGUCACCGCCCUCCGGAGAGAGCACGUGGCGCGAGGGUGGGCGCGCGCCCGGGGGCGGGACCUCCGGGGUCUCGGACCCGCGCCUGGGAAGCGGAACAGGUCAUACUGACACAGCUAUCAAAUUGGUUGCAUGGCAUUCCUGAUUCUCUGUGGGUUGUGAGAAGAGGUGCUCUAUAUUCUUUGUGACUCUUCCCAGUGCCUCUACAGCUAUUGAUAAAGAGCGUGUUCAGCAAACAUUGUUGACUGCAUCAGAAAUCAGAGUCACAACACAGUUAUUUUACUUGUCUGAAUGGGUUUUUAUUUGUAACUCUAGGAGUUGUCAGAACCAUCAUUCUAUAAAGUAGAUGUGUUUCUGUUACCCAAUGUCGCCAGGAAUGACAAGCCAUAGGCAUAGGGGUAAAAGCAUUUGUCAGGCCAGGCAUGGUGGUACAUACCUUUAAUCCCAGCACCAAGGAGGGUCUCUGUGAGUUUGAGACCAGCCUGGUCUACAUAGCAAGUUCCAGGACAGCUAGGACUACAUAGAGAAACCCUGUCUCAAAAACAGAAAAGUAUUUACCAGACCAGACUAAACCAGAUGUAUGUAUGCAUAUUGUAUGCAUAUAUGUUUGUGUAUGUAUAUUAUAUAAUAUAAUGAAGAAUAUAAGAAUAUACAUUACAAGACAGAUAGAGAUGUGGUGAAUAAAUUCUCAGAGACAGAGAGAGAGAGAGAGAGAGAGAGAGAGAGAGAGAGAGAGAGAGAGAGAGAGAGAGAUGAAAAUAUCCAGGAAAUAGGUUUUUUGUUGUUUUUGUUGUUGUUUGUUUAUAACAGUUAAGUUACCUGAUUUUUUCUUCUAUGCCAUUUCUGAGGAGUCUGUACCCACAUACAUAAGUGAAAGUCUCAUUAUUUAUCUGUAUAGAUUUGUGUGUAUGUUAAUUUUAUGUGUCAUGUUCAUGCAGCUGCCCAAGGAGGCUAGAGACUGUUGGAUCCCCAUGGAAGUAGAGUUUACAGGCAGUUGUGAGCUGCCUGGUUUUUGUGGGUGCUGGGAACUGAAUCUGUAGCCUCUGAAAGUAGUUAAGCACCCUUAGCCACUGAACUAUUUCUCAAAUGCAUCAUCUCACUGUCUUAUAAAGAAAUAAACGUUGCAA